CAGUCGCCACGGUAAUACGUAGGUGGCAAGCGUUGUCCGGAAUUAUUGGGCGUAAAGGGCUCGCAGGCGGUUUCUUAAGUCUGAUGUGAAAGCCCCCGGCUCAACCGGGGAGGGUCAUUGGAAACUGGGAAACUUGAGUGCAGAAGAGGAGAGUGGAAUUCCACGUGUAGCGGUGAAAUGCGUAGAGAUGUGGAGGAGCACCAGUGGCGAAGGCGACUCUCUGGUCUGUAACUGACGCUGAGGAGCGAAAGCGUGGGGAGCGAACAGGAUUAGAUACCCGUGUAGUCCCUGUCUCUUAUAC
rnacentral:rRNA from 1 species